UGACGAGUUUGAUCCUGGCUCAGGAUGAACGCUGGCGGCGUGCUUAACACAUGCAAGUCGAACGGUGAACACGGAGCUUGCUCUGUGGGAUCAGUGGCGAACGGGUGAGUAACACGUGAACAACCUGCCCCUGACUCUGGGAUAAGCGCUGGAAACGGCGUCUAAUACUGGAUACGAGUAGCGACCGCAUGGUCAGUUACUGGAAAGAAUUUCGGUUGGGGGAUGGGCUCGCGGCCUAUCAGCUUGUUGGUGAGGUAAUGGCUCACCAAGGCGUCGACGGGUAGCCGGCCUGAGA
rnacentral:rRNA from 1 species